GAUGAACGCUGGCGGCGUGCCUAAUACAUGCAAGUCGAGCGAAUGGAUUAAGAGCUUGCUCUUAUGAAGUUAGCGGCGGACGGGGGAGUAACACGUGGGUAACCUGCCCAUAAGACUGGGAUAACUCCGGGAAACCGGGGCUAAUACCGGAUAACAUUUUGAACCGCAUGGUUCGAAAUUGAAAGGCGGCUCCGGCUGGCACUUAUGGAUGGACCAGCGUCGCAUUAGCUAGUUGGUGAGGUAACGGCUCACCAAGGCAACGAUGCGUAGCCGACCUGAGAGGGUGAUCGGCCACACUGGGACUGAGACACGGCCCAGACUCCUACGGGAGGCAGCAGUAGGGAAUCUUCCGCAAUGGACGAAAGUCUGACGGAGCAACACCGCGUGAGUGAUGAAGGCUUUCGGGUCGUAAAACUCUGUUGUUAGGGAAGAACAAGUGCUAGUUGAAUAAGCUGGCACCUUGACGGUACCUAACCAGAAAGCCACGGCUAACUACGUGCCAGCCGCCGCCGUAA
rnacentral:rRNA from 1 species